AAAAUUCAAAACAUGUACAAUUCUUCAAUAAAUCUAUAAAUAUAUAUAAUAAUAAAUAUAUUGUGUGUUAUAUCGAAAAUAUUUGUACUUUUCAUUCAAUCUUUAAUGCUUCCGAAGCGACAAAUUUUUCGUAAAGUAAAACGGCGCAUACUGAUUUUUCCAAAGUAGUUCGAAUUGAAUUAACUAGGGCCAUGCUUUGACCGCCAGGCCAAAGGGAGGAGUUUCAACAGAGCCUAGACUAAGGUGCCAGCGCAAUCGAGUGCUUUUUUAACUUGAUAUCGUUACUUAUACGAAUGAUUAUGCAAUCAAGGUGUCGGGUCCAAUCGUUAACAGAGUCCUAUAUCACGAGACAAGUAUAAAGCAUCUCGACCGGGCCGAAAUAAAUCAAGUUCCAAAUGUCAGGUAGUACAGUUAUAUGGAGACUACACGAAAACGUGGACCUGCAUAGCCAAUUACCAGAGAAGGCGGUAGGCGGUACAAACACCAAUUUUUAUAAUUCCCUUGAAAAAUGUGGCUAAAAUCUAUAUGGGAAAUAUCCGAAGGCAAUUUUCUGACAUAGGAAGUGGUACCCAUUACGUAUUUCAAAUAACAAAUAUGGAACGAUUCCAUCGCAAAAAAUAUAUAUAUGGAGCAAUACAAAAAUGUGGGUUUAUGUAAAUAAUUUUCUAUCAGAGAAAUUAGUACCUAUUAUUUUCACUAAAUACCAACUUUGAAACAAUUACGUUGGACAAUGCCUCAAAACCAACAUAUAAAGGGUGACACCGUUAUAUAGGGGUUACACGAAGACGUUACGUGGGUAUCCAAAGUCAUUUUUCUGUCAAAGGAGAUAGUACCCAUUACAAACUCCAAAUGCUAAAUUUUACAUCACUCCGUUAGAAAACUUGCAACACAAAUAAUCAAAAUAUCUGAAGGUACAGUAAUAUGGGGUAUAUACCAAAACAUGUACAGUUUUCGAUAAGGAUAUUUCCUACAUACUAGUAACACAAACUGCCAAUUUACCGCAAAUUUGUUUUAAAUUGUUAAAAUUGACCAAAAAUACCUUAAAUCCUUAAAUCUUAAAAAAACAAAAAUACCUUACCUCUAAAUCGGGCAUGGCAAAAUCUAUUUAUGUAUGUCCGUCCACUCAUGUAUUACUAUAAGCAAAUAAUUAUAAGCUUUGCAUAGUUCAUUUGUUUGGAAUUAAGACGAAUCCUAUUGAAGUAAGUGGUAAUCUUCGCUCCAAAAUCAAGUGAGCCAUAGACACGUUUAAACUCUUUAAAUAACUCUGACCAGACGUAAGUAUUCUCGCCAUGCUUCAAUAUACUGCGGCAGCAAUAGUUCCGAUUCAGGGGUACACCGCAAGGCGUUGUUCUAUUACCAUUAUUAUGGUUAAUGGUCAUUAACAGUAUACUCGUAGAUUGGGAACAAAAUGGGACAAUAGUCAUUACCUAUGCUGACGAUGUUGCCUAUGCUUACGAUCGCAGGAAAAAUCCUACAAACAAUUUCAGAUGUAAUAGAGAGGGCUCACUUUAAAUUUAAAUCCAUCAAGAACAGAGCUCGUCCUCUUCAGUAGGAAACGUAAAUAUUCUGUUUUCAUACCACAAAUGCAAGAUGGAGUCACGUUAACCCCAUUCUCAGAAGCCAAAUAUCUCGGUACUAUUGUCGAUCACCAUUUAAACUAUAAGAGAAAUACUGAGAAACGUGCAAAGAGAGCGCUUUACUGCACUUUAUACUCGUACCCUCCUAUAGGCAAAAGUUCGUGCCUCAAACCACUUAUAAUAAAAUGAAUAUAUGAGUCAAUUGUUCGCCCUAUUCUAGCCUAUGGAGCUCGAUUCUAGUGGCACUCUUUAUGCAAGUCAUCUUAUAGACGAGGCAUUGACGAAGUUCAAAGAGCUGUAUCGCUGCUGAAAACAGGUGCAUUCAGGAGCACACCUUAAACCUCACUGGACACCCUAUUUUGCCUAAGCCCAUUAAGCCUUUACGUUGAGGAACAGACAAUCAGGUGUGCCUUUCGGUGGAGUCAAUCCUUUGGACACUCUGCUAUCCUAUGUAAGAGAAGUCAAUACAUGUGAGGGAGGUCUGGACCCGUAACAGUCCACCUUUCUGCGGUAUAGAUACUGACCGUUCUAUGAUGGAAUGUGGACAGGUGAAUUCUACAAAUUAAAAAACGAAUGUAGUGUAUUCCGAAAAUCUUUCGACCAAAACAGCCAUAGAUGAGUUGGCAAGACGGGGUCCAAAUCAAGUAUCACUGAAGAUAUUCCAACAAAAAUGGCCAGAUAAAGGGAAUGUAAUGUAACUAUGUAAUGUAUGUCGAAACCGACGUAAAACUUGUGGUUGUCACAGGUCACUGCAAUGCGAAUUCAAUGACUUCUUGAUGGAGUAGCGACGAUAUCAAUUACUGUAGAAUCUGCCAACAUGAUGAAGAAAUUGAGACAGUCCAGCAUUUGCUCUGCCAAUUUCCAACUCUCAUUAAUAUGAGACCCAGUCUCAUGUAACAAUUAUCCCACGAUCUGUCUUCAUAUUUCAAAACAAAGCCUGCAGUAAUUCUGGAAUUGGCUAAAAGAUUUCAGUGUCUAAAGUCGACACGGCAGAAUUUUUAGCUCUUUUUAUUCUAUUAUUACUUUUUCCAAUCUCUUCUCAUUUCCCCGUUAUAGAAUGAACACAAUUAACAAGUAGGUUCCGAGUGGAGCGGUUACCCUAAGGCGAUUUAGUACGCCAAUAAGAACGUAUAUUUGUUACGGACAGCUCUGUUAAUUAUGCUGGGGUAUUAUAUAGCCGGUCUGCCCGACUAUUGUAUUUUCCUUAUUGGUUUUAAAAAUAUAUUAUCUAUUUUUUAGGUAUUAAAUUGUAUACAGAAAUAAAGAUCACUCGCUUGCGACAUGCACUUUAUAGAAAAAAUAUACUAGUAAUAUCAAAGAACUGAUCUGAUUAAGUAUGUCCUUUCUUUAGAUUAUAUCACGGUAGUUUUGUUACUCAAGUUUACAAUGCAAAGCUUUAUGACAUUUUUUUUUCAAAGUAAAACUCUUACAUUUUUUAGUUUCCUUAAUGGAAGUGGUUCACGUGGAUUUUUUUAAAUUGAAAAAUUGCCAAAGUUCGUUUCAGAGCUGUGGAGUCGACUCAGUUUUGAUUGGACUCCGACCCCAAAGUCAUAUUUUAGCUACAGCAACGCCACGAAAAACUUCUUUUCCCAACAUUUUAUUUUGAACUUAGUUCUUAAAUCAACCUUAUCCAAGACUAAACGAACAAGUUUAUGUCAGAUCUAAAAAUAUAUUCAUAUUUUAUUGAUCCAUUCAGUAAAAAAGAAGAAAAAUAUAUUAUAAAAAUUUAUAAUAGAAUAUAGUAAAAACACAUCUUUCCCUAGAAGUCACGUGGAAGGAUUGUAUCUACAGAAUAACUAUGGAAGGACCUUUAUGUACAUGUUAGGUUCUUACAGAGGUAGCCGAUUUAAUAAAAGGUGGUAUUAAAAACAUAAUCAAUUCAUUUAAGUUAUGGUUUCGUUUUUUUAUGAAGGAAUAAACAAUAAUUUGUGUGUAAAAAAUAGAACAUUGUUGGCCAACGUUUCGUCACUUUUUUGGUGACUUUUUCAGGGGAUUUCGGGAUUCAUAGAUUUUACUUUAAAAUAACAUAAAAGACAAUAAACAACGAGUUAAAAUCUAGUAUAACAGAUAUGUUUACGUUAUUGCCACUGCAUAGCUUGCACUCGCAUAUUUUUUGUUACAAAAUUGUCGGACUUAAUCCCGUCAAUGUAUAUUUUUUGAUGGAGAAAAAUGGCAAUGUUGAGUCCAAAAUAUUUUUAUUUUCCCUAAUUACAUUGUCAAUUUUGUAACAAUUAACUACUUUUGUUAUUGUUUAUUUAAUUAACAGUAGGACUAUUCUGUAACCUUUAUCGAUUGAAAAGUUGUUAAAAUUUCUUUGGUUAUUGUAAGAAAACAAAUCAAGCCGUUUUUUUUUUUUGUAAAAUAAACAAUGAGUGAAGUGUGUAUUAAGUUGUAGAAUAUUCCUACAGGUUUUGUAGUUUGCUGCAACGAUACUGCUCUUCUGUAAAAAUGUAGAUAAAUUGUCGUUAAACUUAAAAAGCUUUAAAGUUAAAAAAAUGUCUAAAACAAAUCACACACAAAACCGAUAUUUAAAAUAGUUGUCAAUAAAUAAACUAUCUGUAUUAGUAUUAUUUUCAUAAGAACGACAAGGACAAAUGAGGUUAAAACUGUUAUAGAAGAUAGCAUUGUUGGUAAUAUUUUUUUAAUAGAAUAACAAUAUCGAUUGUAACAUUUAGAGAAUAGGUCUACUAUUUUGAACAAUUAGAUUUUUCAUUUCAUUUAUUUAUUUAUAUGUUGCAGUGUUCUAAUUUAUAUUAGUUUUUCAUUCCGAUUGCUGAUCUAUUUGAUAUUACUACAUUAAAAAUUAUUUGUACGUCGAUUCAGUAACUUUUAAAGAUCCGACAACCCCACAAGUUUCUCUACACUGUUGAUUGUUUAUGAUCCUCAUCGCCAACUUAUUACGUUCUUA